rnacentral:rRNA from 1 species
UACAGGGGGGGCAAGCGUUGUUCGGAAUUACUGGGCGUAAAGGGCUCGUAGGUGGCCAACUAAGUCAGACGUGAAAUCCCUCAGCUUAACUGGGGAACUGCGUCUGAUACUGGAUGGCUUGAGUUUGGGAGAGGGAUGCGGAAUUCCAGGUGUAGCGGUGAAAUGCGUAGAUAUCUGGAGGAACACCGGUGGCGAAGGCGGCAUCCUGGACCAACACUGACACUGAGGAGCGAAAGUCAGGGGAGCAAACGGG